rnacentral:rRNA from 1 species
AUACGUAGGGUGCGAGCGUUGUCCGGAAUUACUGGGCGUAAAGAGCUCGUAGGUGGUUUGUCGCGUCGUCUGUGAAAUUCCGGGGCUUAACUACGGGCGUGCAGGCGAUACGGGCAUAACUUGAGUACUGUAGGGGAGACUGGAAUUCCUGGUGUAGCGGUGAAAUGCGCAGAUAUAAGGAGGAACACCGGUGGCGAAGGGGGGUCUCUGGGCAGUAGCUGACGCUGAGGAGCGAAAGCAUGGGUAGCGAACAGGAUUAGAUACCCUGGUAGUCCAUGCCGUAAACGUUGGGCGCUAGGUGUAGGGGUCUUCCACGACUUCUGUGCCGUAGCUAACGCAUUAAGCGCCCCGCCUGGGGAGUACGGCCGCAAGGCUAAAACUCAAAUGAAUUGACGGGG